GUCAACGGAGAACACUAUCGUGUGACUUUAUUUCACCGCGAGUCGGCGAGAUGCGAGCAUCCAAAAUUAUCGGAUCUCAAUAAUGGCUAAACCAAUCAAAAUUAAGUUUCGCGGCGAGUUUGACAAUUGAUGAUAAUUUGUUUUGGAAUAAAUCAGAAAACUAGAAGUGUUCAAAUAUUAUGGUCUGUAGAGAUUGUUGUGCAACUUGACCGUAUUAUGAUAUAUUUGUUUAAAUAUAAAAGAUUAGACGAUGGAUACAUUCAAGUCGACAAAGCAGGUAAACCUAUUCGCAAGGCUAUUUAAUGUGAAUAAUUUCUAUUUUUACAAGUCGGAUCCAUUUAUUAAACGUCACUAUCUCCCAUCUAUAAACUUGAGAAAAAGAAAUCAACAAAGUCAAGUAUAAAUUCUAACAUAAUAUUAUUAAGGAAAAUAUAUUGUAAACGUGUACUUAUCUAAUAAAGCAAGAUCAAUAAUCA